GGUGUCAGGGGUUAUGGGGGGAAGGCAGGAGAAUGGGGUUGGGAGGGAAAGAUAGAUCUGCCAUAAUUGAAUGGCGGAGUAGACUUUAUGGUCCGAAUGCCCCAAUUCUGCCGUUAGAACAUAAACUUAUUAUUACUGCCUACUUUAUUUAAAUUUAAACUAUUUAAACUAAGAUUAAAUUCUGCAGCAACCACAGCCAUGUUUGGAUUUAGAUAUCUCCACUGUUAGCCUGGGCCUCUGGAUUACGUCCGUUAGCUGAAACAUUGCACCACCACUAUAUCUUCUAACAGCAUUCUUUUGUGGACAAAUAAAGUGCCAUUUACACUAUUAAUAUAUAUACGUCACCUAGCCAGAAAACGAUAUAAUGCCGUUUAACCUUUUAGAUGUGACGGUACGCUGUAUCAUCACAAAAAAACACUGCUCUCCGAUAUGGAUUUUGAGGCAUUUUUAACAAUCCCUCAACUUCCUUAAGCACGAUUUCAGCAGAAUUGAUGAAAUGUACCAUUUUACUUUCUAAUUUAUUUCUAUAACCUGCUCUGAAUUGAAUAUGUCACAAUUAUUUAAAAUCUUGUUAGAAAUUAGUAAUUUUAAUUGUUGUAUUACAUAUAUUACAGAAACAUAUUCUAGAAAUACUGAAUUAGUUUUGAUUUAAAAUAGCUUUACAUAUUUGUAUUCUUUAUUGUGUGCUUCUAAUUAGAAAUUGUGAUUCAUCACUAAACACAAAUAUAUUACAUUGGGCUAAAGGUAUUCGACUAACUUAGAUGAAAUAAUAUUUGCAAAACGGGCUAAUGUCACAUCAUUAAAUGUCUUGUAAUUAAGCAAUGCCAGUGGUGCCAUGCCAAAAAAUGUCCCAGGAUCAAAUCUGCAAUAGUACAUCAAAACAAAAUUGAUAAUAACACAUGCACU